rnacentral:rRNA from 1 species
UACGGAGGGUGCAAGCGUUAUCCGGAUUCACUGGGUUUAAAGGGUGUGUAGGCGGGCUGUUACGUCGGCUGUGAAAACCUGGGGCUCAACCCCGGGCCUGCAACCGAUACGGGCAGACUAGAAUUCGGUAGGGGAGACUGGAAUUCCCGGUGUAGCGGUGAAAUGCGCAGAUAUCGGGAGGAACACCGGUGGCGAAGGCGGUUCUCUGGGCCUUACCUGACGCUGAGGAGCGAAAGCGUGGGGAGCAAACAGG